rnacentral:rRNA from 1 species
CCCGCACAAGCGGUGGAGUAUGUGGUUAAUUCGAUGCAACGCGAAGAACCUUACCUGGUCUUGACAUCCCGGAGACCCUUAGGAAACUAGGGGGUGCUUCCAUCUGGAAGAAUCUGGAGACAGGUGCUGCAUGGCUGUCGUCAGCUCGUGUCGUGAGAUGUUGGGUUAAGUCCCGCAACGAGCGCAACCCUUGCCUUUAGUUGCCAGCAGUUCGGCUGGGCACUCUAAAGGGACUGCCGGUGUUAAACCGGAGGAAGGUGGGGAUGACGUCAAGUCCUCAUGGCCUUUAUGACCAGGGCUACACACGUACUACAAUGGCCGAUACAAAGGGCAGCGACACUGCGAGGUGAAGCCAAUCCCGUAAAAUCGGUCUCAGUCCGGAUUGGAGUCUGCAACUCGACUCCAUGAAGUUGGAAUCGCUAGUAAUCGUGGAUCAGCAUGCCACGGUGAAUACGUUCCCGGGCCUU